UGCCAGAGAAUGAAGCAGAGGGCUGUGGGGUGAAGGGACUGCCAGUCUUCCACCACUCCUUUUCGUGGUCCUUCCCUUCACUGCCUUCCUUCUCCCAGACAGACUGGGCAUCCAGUUCCAAUCCAAAGGCUGCCCCUUUGACCAGGCCCAUCUUCUCCACCUCACAUCAGACAGCCAAUCGGCUGCCCAGACCUCGAAACCUCAGUAACCUGGAAGGAAAUGGACCUUGGCAAACGUGUGUCAGGAGAGGAUGACUUGGAGGUGUCCACCGUGUUUCUUACUGAAGGCACAGAGUCCAGGGACACCUCCUGCUGCUGCCUCACCUAAGAGAAAGUGGCCCAAGAAGCACUGGCCCGGUGCCUGCUGAUGCCAGGAGCCCUCUGCUACUGCCUGACACAAGCAUCCUGCACUUCCCCCUCCCAGGCCCUCCCCGAAAGCGUGGGCCACAGCCCCCAGAAGGUCAUCCUCCAGGCUGUGAUCGUCAGACAGGGGGUCCUGCACGGGGUCCUCACAGGCCUUCAACCCAGC
rnacentral:lncRNA from 1 species